CCCUUAGAUGUUCUGGGCUGCACGCGUGCUACACUGAUUAUUUCAACAAGUGUUUUAACUGGAGAGUUCGCGUAAUCCUGAAAUGUUAUCGUGAUGGGAGUAGAGUAUUGUAUUUGUUAAUCUUUAACGAGGAAUUCCUAGCAAGUGUAGGUUUAUAAGUUGUUCUGAUUACGUCCCUGCCCUUUGUACACACCGCCCGUCGCUCCUACCGAUUGAUUGAUCCGGUGAAUUACAUAGAAUUUUGCGUUUUACAUGACGGAAGACGAAGUGUUUUAAACCUUAUCAUUUAGAGGAAGGAGAAGUCGUAACA
rnacentral:rRNA from 1 species